rnacentral:rRNA from 1 species
CCUACGGGUGGCUGCAGUGAGGAAUAUUGGUCAAUGGGCGGGAGCCUGAACCAGCAAAGUCGCGUGAGGGAAGACGGUCCUACGGAUUGUAAACCUCUUUUGCCGGGGAGCAACGGGGUCAUUGCGAGGGCCCAAUGAGAGUACCAGGAGGAAAAGCAUCGGCUAACUCCGUGCCAGCAGCCGCGGUAAUACGGAGGAUGCGCGCGUUAUCCGGAUUUAGUGGGUUUAAAGGGUGCCUAGGAGGGCUGUUAAGUCAGCGGUCCAAGGUCUGGGCUCAAACCCGGCCUGACGUUGAAACUGGCGGCCUCGAGCUGGCGAGAAGUAUGCGGAAUGCGUUGUGUAGCGGUGAAAUGCAUAGAUAUCACGCAGAACUCCGAUUGCGAAGGCAGCAUACCGGCGCCCUACUGACGCUGAGGCACGAAAGCGUGGGUAUCGAACAGGAUUAGAUACCCUAGUAGUC